UGAGGAAUCUUCCGCAAUGGGCGAAAGCCUGACGGAGCGACGCCGCGUGGUGGAUGAAGGCCUUUACCGGUCGUAAACACCUGUUCUGAGGGAAGAAAUUUUUUGACGGUACCUCAGGAGAAAGUAUCGGCAAACCCUGUGCCAGCAGCCGCGGUAAUACAGGGGAUACAAGCGUUACUCGGAAUCACUGGGCGUAAAGCGCACGUAGGCGGAUAGUUAAGUCAGGGGUGAAAUCCUGGGGCUCAACCCCAGAACUGCCUUUGAUACUGGCUGUCUCGAGGUCGAGAGAGGUUGGUGGAAUUCCUAGUGUAGAGGUGAAAUUCGUAGAUAUUAGGAAGAACACCAGUGGCGAAGGCGGCCAACUGGCUGGAUACUGACGCUGAGACGCGAAAGCGUGGGGAGCAAACAGGAUUAGAUACCCCCGUAGUCCCUGAGCGGGCUGGCAAGGCGCAU
rnacentral:rRNA from 1 species